rnacentral:rRNA from 1 species
GACGAACGCUGGCGGCGUGCCUAAUACAUGCAAGUUGAGCGCUGAAGGUUGGUACUUGUACCAACUGGAUGAGCAGCGAACGGGUGAGUAACGCGUGGGGAAUCUGCCUUUGAGCGGGGGACAACAUUUGGAAACGAAUGCUAGUACCGCAUAAAAACUUUAAACACAAGUUUUAAGUUUGAAAGAUGCAAUUGCAUCACUCAAAGAUGAUCCCGCGUUGUAUUAGCUAGUUGGUGAGGUAAAGGCUCACCAAGGCGAUGAUACAUAGCCGACCUGAGAGGGUGAUCGGCCACAUUGGGACUGAGACACGGCCCAAACUCCUACGGGAGGCAGCAGUAGGGAAUCUUCGGCAAUGGACGAAAGUCUGACCGAGCAACGCCGCGUGAGUGAAGAAGGUUUUCGGAUCGUAAAACUCUGUUGGUAGAGAAGAACGUUGGUGAGAGUGGAAAGCUCAUCAAGUGACGGUAACUACACAGAAAGAGACGGCUAACUACGUG